rnacentral:rRNA from 1 species
UGGGGAAUAUUGCACAAUGGGCGGAAGCCUGAUGCAGCGACGCCGCGUGGGGGAUGAAGGCCUUCGGGUUGUAAACUCCUUUCGACAGGGACGAAGCUUUUGUGACUGUACCUGUAUAAGAAGCACCGGCCAACUACGUGCCAGCAGCCGCGGUAAUACGUAGGGUGCGAGCGUUGUCCGGAAUUACUGGGCGUAAAGAGCUCGUAGGUGGGUUGUCGCGUCGUCUGUGAAAUUCCGGGGCUUCACUCCGGGCGUGGAGGCGAUACGGGCUGACUUGAGUGCUGUAGGGGAGACUGGAAUUCCUGGUGUAGCGGUGAAAUGCGCAGAUAUCAGGAGGAACCCCGAUGGCGAAGGCAGGUCUCUGGGCAGUAGCUUACGCUGAGGAGCGAAAGCAGGGGUAGCAAACAAG